CCCACAACCACCCUCCCCUGCUGGCCAUCUUGUGGCAGCCAUCUUUGACCACAUGGGGGUGGUUAUCUUGUGUGAGGACAUGAGAGUCAAAUUUGCAUAUUACCUCUUUAUUAUAUAGGAUAGGCACAUGUUUAUCUUUAGUAAUAAAAAUAAUACAUCUUAAAAAUUUAUCAAUAACUAAAAUGUUAAGCUAAAUAAAUUGAAACUUAGUUUCAGUUUAUUUUUGAAAGAUAAAUUCAUUUUUUGUGUGUGUCAGAACUAUUCAAACAUUAAAAAGUAACUGUAGGGAAGUGGAGAAAGGCUGUUGACAGUCCUGAGAUGGUACGUUUUGGCUGACAUGCAAAAUCUGGUAGAAAGUUGGGAGAGGGAGGUAGGCCACCUGAAGGCAGUGUCCCAUGCCUCUGACAUGCACUAUGGAUAUGGAGACAGUGUUCCAAAAGCAGGUGAUGACAAAGAUAAAACAGAUGGCUACAUAUAUAAGUGUCAACACGACUUUGCAAAUCAAAGGCAAAAUUAACUCCAUUACAGUAGCUCACUAUAAGAAACUCAGUCUGGUAUUCGAUGAUAUGCUGGGCAUUGUGGAGAUAAUAGUAGAGAUGUCAAAGUUCAGGUAAUGGGUAAAAUGCCAACCAUUUCCAUAACAAAACAGAUGGCUGCCAUGUUUACCUGAGUUAGAAUUCCUUGGAUUAUGAGACAGUGCCAAAUCUUCUGAGAUGAAUGUCCUCAUUCCUUCAGAAGACGGACACUUUAAUGAGUUCCCUGAGUAGUUCAAGACCCUAUGGAAUGGGAAGGAGUUGGUCACCACAGAGACAGAAAUUGCUGGAUAAGCAAAAUUGGUAGAGCGUCGUGUAGGGAAAGAGAGU